rnacentral:rRNA from 1 species
UACAGAGGGUGCAAGCGUUAAUCGGAAUUACUGGGCGUAAAGCGUGCGCAGACGGUUGCGUAAGUCAGAUGUGAAAGCCCCGGGCUCAACCUGGGAAUUGCAUUUGAGACUGCGUAGCUAGGGUGCGGAAGAGGGAAGCGGAAUUUCCGGUGUAGCGGUGAAAUGCGUAGAUAUCGGAAGGAACACCAGUGGCGAAAAGCGGCUUCCGUCGG